rnacentral:rRNA from 1 species
GACGAACGCUGGCGGCGUGCUUAACACAUGCAAGUCGAACGGAAAGGCCCUGCUUUUGUGGGGUGCUCGAGUGGCGAACGGGUGAGUAACACGUGAGUAACCUGCCCUUGACUUUGGGAUAACUUCAGGAAACUGGGGCUAAUACCGGAUAGGAGCUCCUGCUGCAUGGUGGGGGUUGGAAAGUUUCGGCGGUUGGGGCUGGACUCGCGGCUUAUCAGCUUGUUGGUGGGGUAGUGGCUUACCAAGGCUUUGACGGGUAGCCGGCCUGAGAGGGUGACCGGCCACAUUGGGACUGAGAUACGGCCCAGAAUCCUACGGGAGGCAGCAGUGGGGAAUAUUGCACAAUGGGCGGAAGCCUGAUGCAGCAACGCCGCGUGCGGGAUGACGGCCUUCGGGUUGUAAACCGCUUUCGCCGGUGACGAAGCGUGAGUGACGGUAAUGGGUAAAGAAGCACCGGCUAACUACGUG